CCUACGGGUGGCUGCAGUGGGGAAUAUUGGACAAUGGGCGAAAGCCUGAUCCAGCCAUGCCGCGUGUGUGAAGAAGGCCUUCGGGUUGUAAAGCACUUUCAGUGGGGAAGAAAGCCUUGGGGCUAAUACCCUCGAGGAAGGACAUCACCCACAGAAGAAGCACCGGCUAACUCCGUGCCAGCAGCCGCGGUAAUACGGAGGGUGCGGGCGUUAAUCGGAAUUACUGGGCGUAAAGCGCGCGUAGGCGGUCUGAUAAGCCGGUUGUGAAAGCCCCGGGCUCAACCUGGGAACGGCAUCCGGAACUGUCAGGCUAGAGUGCAGGAGAGGAAGGUAGAAUUCCCGGUGUAGCGGUGAAAUGCGUAGAGAUCGGGAGGAAUACCAGUGGCGAAGGCGGCCUUCUGGACUGACACUGACGCUGAGGUGCGAAAGCGUGGGUAGCAAACAGGAUUAGAUACCCGAGUAGUC
rnacentral:rRNA from 1 species